rnacentral:rRNA from 1 species
CCUGAGUACGACGGAGCACGUGAAAUUCCGUCGGAAUCUGGGAGGACCAUCUCCUAAGGCUAAAUACUCUCUAGUGACCGAUAGUGAACCAGUACCGUGAGGGAAAGGUGAAAAGUACCCCGGAAGGGGAGUGAAAGAGAACUUGAAACCGUGUGCUUACAAGUAGUCAGAGCCCGUUAAUGGGUGAUGGCGUGCCUUUUGUAGAAUGAACCGGCGAGUUACGAUCUGAUGCAAGGUUAAGCAGAAAAUGUGGAGCCGUAGCGAAAGCGAGUCUGAAUAGGGCGAAUGAGUAUUUGGUCGUAGACCCGAAACCAGGUGAUCUACCCUUGGUCAGGUUGAAGUUCAGGUAACACUGAAUGGAGGACCGAACCGACUUACGUUGAAAAGUGAGCGGAUGAACUGAGGGUAGCGGAGAAAUUCCAAUCGAACUUGGAGAUAGCUGGUUCUCUCCGAAAUAGCUUUAGGGCUAGCCUCAAGUGAUGAUUAUUGGAGGUAGAGCACUGUUUGGACGAGGGGCCCCUCUCGGGUUACCGAAUUCAGACAAACUCCGAAUGCCAAAUAAUUUAACUUGGGAGUCAGAAUGUGGGUGAUAAGGUCCAUAUUCGAAAGGGAAACAGCCCAGACCACCAGCUAAGGUCCCAAAAUAUAUGUUAAGUGGAAAAGGAUGUGGCGUUGCCCAGACAACUAGGAUGUUGGCUUAGAAGCAGCCAUCAUUUAAAGA